rnacentral:tRNA from 1 species
GCCCGGGUGGUGGAAUUGGUAGACACUAGGGACUUAAAAUCCCUUGCUACUUGGUAGCGUACGAGUUCGAGUCUCGUCCUGGGCA